UUUCCGUAGGUGAACCUGCGGAAGGAUCAUUAAUGAAUUUUGAAGGGGUUGUAGCUGGCCCGCGAGGGCAUGUGCACGCCCCGUUCAAUCCAUUCUACCCCUGUGCACCACACUGUAGGGACGGAGGACCGUGAGGUCUCCUGUCUCUAUGUCAUUCACAAACCAUGUAGUCUCAGAAUGUAAAUGCGUAUAACGCAUCUUAUACAACUUUCAGCAACGGAUCUCUUGGCUCUCGCAUCGAUGAAGAACGCAGC
rnacentral:misc_RNA from 1 species